CGCUGCUCAGUUGCGACAAACAUCGGCGGUAUGGACUUAGAUGACAUCGAUCGCUGGCGCGCCGGUGGCAGCAACCGAGACCACUAUCGCUCGCGCUACGCGCCGCAGUACUGUCGCAAGUGGAAUGAUGCGUACCAAAGCACAUACGACCCGCCCCCGCCACGGCGGUACUUCAACGAUGAUCCUCCCUCACCAAAGCUGCCCCCACGUCGGAGCGCUCCACCGCCACCGCCACCGCCGCCGCCACCACACCGUUCGGAGUCUCAGAAUGCAAAACGCAAGCACAAGCACCACUCGAAGCCCCGUCGCAAGCGCCGUGCGAGAUCGGCCAGCUUCACCUCUAGCGACGCGACCAGCACGGUGACGAGCCGCGCGUCCUCCACCUCGAGCGCCGAUAGCACUACAAGCUCCACGACCACCUCGUCCAGCUCAUCGAGCAGCAGCGGCUCGUACGAGCCUUCCGACUCGGAAAGAGGGAGUGCGACGACGUCCAGCACCAGCAGCACCUCGGCUUCGUCGAAGUCCACCUGCGGCAACAGCAGCACUUCCUCGCAUGAAAGACGUGCACAGCCGCACAAGAUGCAGAAGCAUCUCCAACGGCACGCCAACGCGCUCUCUCGCGUCGCUGCGAAGCCGAUCAUAGCCGCGCAGGACGAGGAAAUCGCCGCAGCAGCGGCGUGCAGAGCAAUUCUCAGCAAGGAGGCGCAGCUGAAGGAGCAGGAGCUAAGGCUUCUCCAGCAGAAGCGGAACUUCGCGGCGGAGGUUCAGCGUCGGUCGUCCCAGCCGCAUCGCUUUGUGGCCGAAGACGACGCAAUACGGCAGAUGCAGCGGCUUGUCGAUCUUACAGACACGACGCCAGCGUUGGAGGAGUUCCUGAGGCGCACAUCCAAGGCUCCGCCUGCGAGCGGUGCCUCGACGGACGCCGGGGCGCUGACGUAUCUGCGCUCCUGCGAGGGAACUUUGUCGAGAAACGGGGUGGCGCCGCUGCUGAGUCGGAUCGUCGCACCGCCACCCACGCCCGCCACCACCGCGGCCGCCAACGUUCGAUGCGAAGAGCGCCUCGUCAUUGUUGGGGAUGAGCCACCGGUCCCUACAAGCCAGCCAAGUGGCUCACCGGAAAUGGCACCAUCGGCGACUACGCCGCUCAUCGCGGCCUCGGCGCCAACUGCCAGUGAAAGAGUGGAGCUGCGCGGGACGAGCGCCGAGGUCGACUCGUUGCUGGAGCACAGUCUUCCCGUAGAGGGCCACCUUCUCACGCGCUCCCCUCCGCCAACUCCGACCGACCGCGCAAGAGCGCCUGCUCCGUCGGAAAGGGUGCCGGCACAGUCUCUCACCGUCGAUGCCAGAAAGACAGAGAAUCAGGUGUUCGCUGCCGGCGCACCGGCGGAAGGUGCGGUCACAGCUGCAAAUGGCGAGCAGAAACAAGGCGGCUCGGUCGCGCCGGCAAAGGAGAAGGCAGCGGAGGCCGCUGAGCCGGCGGCGAGCAGACCCUUGAAAGGCGGCCGCGUUACUUGCAAUGAGCUGGUGCAGCGGCGCCGCAUCAAGGUGAAGGUGCGACGUCGCCGCAGUCGCUCGCACGUUCCGGCGCACCAGUCCGAGACGGACGAUGACGCAGCCUUAGAGGGUGAUCCUUCGCCAAACGAGAAGCGACAAGACAGGGUUGUCUCGCCUCCCGCCGGAAACUCGCAGCCAGCGCAGCGGCAGCAGUCCAUCGGUGCACCGCUGCAGCUGCUGCCGCCACCACCAAGCCCCGCCUCUCACGUCGUCGCUGAACGGCAGCUCAUCUUCAGCGACCCAGUGCAGCAGUACAGCCAGGGUGGGACCAAAAAGCAGCCGUGGGCAGUGGCCAACUGGCCGUGCAAUGCCCCACCACGGAGGUCGACGCAGAAAGGAAAGGAUGGCCCGCCAGCGCUCUGGUACGCCUCCAACAGCCCCGUGCCGCUCUCGCACCGUGAGUUCAAGAGCUUGCUCUGCUCCGAGUACGUGUCGCCGGAGAUGACGACCGUGUUAGCGCCGGGAGCUGCGGACGCGACCAUAGCCGGUGUUGAUGCGGACAAGCAACUGUCGGCGGCGCCGACGGGUACGAAGGCGGGACGCGAUGCGUACGUGCCAUACGGCGGCGGCGCUGCCCACGUUGCAACUCCCUCCAGAGCAACCGGUGCUGGUGAGCGCGGCGCUCAGCGAAAUUCUCGGCACCGAUCCGUGCGCAUUCAAGAUGUGAACGAAGACUCUGGACUCCCCUUCGACGUGGAGUCAGCACAUAGAGAAGGCGACUCUCCGGCCCGUAUCCCUGCCAAGCUCUCAGCACCGCCUCCAGUUGCUUUAAGGGGCGACGAAGACGAGCUGGUCGUGGAGUUUCCGCCGCCGCCGCAUAUGAUGGCAAGCGAUAUGCCGCCCCCGGGUGACGUGGGCAGCGACGGCGAGGACAGUUGCUGCGGGUGUGGAGGCAGUGGGUGCAGCUGCUGCUCUGCUCCUUGUGCUGGCUUCUGUAGUUGCUGGUCCGCCAUGUUCAGCUGCCUCUUUCCGUGCUGCUGCGGCAGGAAGGCAAAGGUCGCGCAGUCGACUGAGCCGCAACGUCGACUGGCCUUUCAGAGGCCCGAUCCAGCCUCUGCUCCGCCGAUACUGCCCCUGCAGAUGCAGACCACACCGGCCACGACGAACGUGCAGCCAUAGAAACAGCACCAGCGGCAGCUGUACACGCACUCCUCGGCAGCAGCUGUCGAUGCGUGCCGAUAGCUUGCGGCAGCGACCGUAUCGGCAACGCAGCUACUACUGCAGCAGUCGCCGCCUCCCUGCCACUCUACCUUGGACCUCAAUGCAACAAUGACGACGGCAGCGGAGAUGGAAGGCUGCUCGCCUCCCCCCCUCCACCCUGCCGCACCUCUGCAUGAUGUAGGAUGCCGGCUGACAAUGGCGGGUGCAGUGAGGAGUCAUGCGCACAGGCGUUACGUCCGAGCAGCAACAGAGGAAGGUGUGGUGCGGUGAGUCUGCGCAUACGCUUGCCUGUGUUGAUAUCUCCGUUCUGAGAAGAAGGGAGUGCAGCGGUAGAGAGGGCGAUUUCGGCGGAUGACACCGCCUGCCAGCGGACGACAUCCGUCCCCAGCACUUUUUCUUCUUUCUUUCAAAACCCACUUCGCGCCCUUUGGCUGUUAUUGUUGGAUUUGGGUUGUUGCUUCGUUUGGGUGCCUCGACGUAUCCACGGCGUAGAUCUCUUCCCCCACCCCGCUGUCCCCUCCCUUUUUUUAUUUUGACCUGCACCCUAAAAUAUAUCUAUGUAUAUGUGUAUGCAUGUGUGCAUCUAGAGAGAGAUAUGCGUGUGUGUGUGUGUUCUCAUUUACUUGGACUUUUUUGUUGUUGUUGUGUGCUUAUUUCGGCUGAUAAUGGAAGGAAUCAGGAAUGCCGGUGUUGGAGGCUGCGUGUAUGCGUGCAUGUGUGCAUGCAUGUGUUCCUCUGGGAGAGCUCUCAUGCCGCCCUGCGCGCAGAAGAGUCCACACAGAGAGAGAGCCAAAAAGCAUAUGUCUGCGUGUGGACGGGCGCAGAAGUUGGGCUUUGUGGUUGAGUUGUCGCAUGACCUGUAUCGCAUUGUGGCCUUGCUUUAGUGUUUCUGUUGCAUCCAUGCGCUCCCCUGAUGACAG
rnacentral:misc_RNA from 1 species